GUGCUUGCUUAGGCAGCACAUAUACUAAAAUUGGAAUGCUACAGAGAAAAUUAGCAUGGCCCCUGCCCAAGGAUGACACCCAAAUUCAUGAAGCGUUCCUUUUUUUU
ensembl:snRNA U6 U6 spliceosomal RNA